GUAGGUGGCAAGCGUUGUCCGGAAUUAUUGGGCGUAAAGCGCGCGCAGGCGGUCCUUUAAGUCUGAUGUGAAAGCCCACGGCUCAACCGUGGAGGGUCAUUGGAAACUGGGGGACUUGAGUACAGAAGAGGAAAGCGGAAUUCCAAGUGUAGCGGUGAAAUGCGUAGAGAUUCGGAGGAACACCAGUGGCGAAGGCGGCUUUCUGGUCUGUAACUGACGCUGAGGCGCGAAAGCGUGGGGAGCAAACAGGAUUAGAUACCCUGGUAGUCCACGCCGUAAACGAUGAGUGCUAAGUGUUAGGGGGUUUCCCGCCCCCCUUAGUGCUGCAGCUAACGCAUUAAGCACUCCGCCUGGGGGAGUACGGCCGCAAGGCUG
rnacentral:rRNA from 1 species